rnacentral:rRNA from 1 species
GCAGUAGCCGCGGUAAUACAGAGGAUGCAAGCGUUGUCCGGAAUUAUUGGGCGUAAAGGGCUCGCAGGCGGUUUCUUAAGUCUGAUGUGAAAGCCCCCGGCUCAACCGGGGAGGGUCAUUGGAAACUGGGAAACUUGAGUGCAGAAGAGGAGAGUGGAAUUCCACGUGUAGCGGUGAAAUGCGUAGAGAUGUGGAGGAACACCAGUGGCGAAGGCGACUCUCUGGUCUGUAACUGACGCUGAGGAGCGAAAGCGUGGGGAGCGAACAGGAUUAGAUACCCCGGUAGUCCCUGUCUCUUAUAC